UCACCUGUUUUAUCAAAAACAUGUCUUUAAGAAAUUAAUUUUAAAGUCAAAUCUGCUCAAUGAAUAAUUUUUUAAAUAGCUGCAAUAUCUCUAAUUGUACAAAGGUAGCAUAAUCAUUUGUCUUUUAAUUAAAGAAUAGAAUGAAAGAUUUCAUAAAAUAUUAACUAUAUAAAAUUUAAUAAAAUUUUUAAUUUUAUUUUAAAGUAAAAAAUCUUUAAUAUUUUUAUUAGACGAUAAGACCCUAUAGAACUUUAUAUUAUAAUAAUUAAAUAAAAAUUUAAUUAUGUAAAUUAAUUAAUUUAUAAUAUUAUAUUGGGGGUAUAAAAAAAUUAAACAAAUUUUUUUAUUUUAAAUAAUACUUAUAAGUAAAAUUCAAAUAAGAGUGUUAAUUUAUAAAUUACUAAAACUAGUUACCUUAGGGAUAACAGCAUAAUUUUUUUAAAAAGUUCUUAUUGAUAAAAAAGAUUAUGACCUCGAUGUUGAAUUAAGAUAAAUAUUAAAAGAAGAUUUUUUUUUAUUAAGUCUGUUCGACUUUUAAAAUCUUACAUGAUCUGAGUUCCAAAUCGAA
rnacentral:rRNA from 1 species